rnacentral:snoRNA from 1 species
AGAAAACGAUAAUCAUUCUAUUAUACCCAAUUUACUUCCCCGAAAGCUUUAUUUUCCAAGUUAUUAUAUAUCUGUUGUCUAAGUAAUUCCAAGUCAAGGCAUCUAUCAUCCGAUCGACCGAUUAUAAAAAUCCCAAGUCCUCAGUCCAUCCGCCUUUUUAGAAUCUCAGGUCCCAGCCAAUCUUGGGUCCAAGUUCAGGCAAAGCAUCAGCAACACUCUGCACAUCCUUGUCGCCUCGUCCACUCAAAUUGAGCACGAUGUUCUCACCCUUCUUCAUCGUCUUAGCGAGCUCAAUUGCGCCGUAAACAGCAUGUGAAGACUCG